rnacentral:rRNA from 1 species
GACGAACGCUGGCGGCGUGCCUAAUACAUGCAAGUAGAACGCUGAAGGAGGAGCUUGCUUCUCCGGAUGAGUUGCGAACGGGUGAGUAACGCGUAGGUAACCUGCCUGGUAGCGGGGGAUAACUAUUGGAAACGAUAGCUAAUACCGCAUAACAGUAGAUGUUGCAUGACAUUUGCUUAAAAGGUGCAAUUGCAUCACUACCAGAUGGACCUGCGUUGUAUUAGCUAGUUGGUGAGGUAACGGCUCACCAAGGCGACGAUACAUAGCCGACCUGAGAGGGGGAUCGGCCAAACUGGGACUGAGACACGGCCCAGACUCCUGCGGGAGGCAGCAGUAGGGAAUCUUCGGCAAUGGACGGAAGUCUGACCGAGCAACGCCGCGUGAGUGAAGAAGGUUUUCGGAUCGUAAAGAUCUGUUGUAAGAGAAGAACGAGUGUGAGAGUGGAAAGUUCACACUGUGACGGUAGCUUACCAGAAAGGGACGGCUAACUACGUG